rnacentral:rRNA from 1 species
AUGAAGUCUGACGACGACGGUGCCGACGGCAGGGAGGAGGGCCGGCGCGUCGCUUGCGAGACGGGGCCGGGGAAGAAGGAUAGGAAGAGGAGGCGGAAGCGGAAGAGGAAUCGGAGCGGCGCCAAGGCUGCACCGCCUGCGCCUCCACCUGCCCCAUCCCAGGAGCACCGCGCUACCACCAGCGACGACGAUGGGUCGGCUCAGGUCAGGGCCAUGGUGGGCGAGCAGGUGCGGCAUAUGCUCGCCGUCCGCGACGCCAGGAAGAAAGAAACUGCCGAGCUACUUAAACGCCUCAACGGGGAAAGUGACUUAUCUGUGGAGGAUACAUUUGGUAACUGCAAUGAUGGCAGCCUUGAGAGUCUCCAGGCUCGUAAAGUUGCAUUGUUGGUCUCAAAAUCAAUCGUCAGCCUGUCUUCUUUUGCAGGUGGAAAGAGGAUCCGUGUUUGCUCAGGAUUUGUGAUGCGCCGAAAAGACGAUACCGAUGUAAAUAUGGUUUUAACCUCAGCAACACUUGUUAGAUCUCUGAAUGGAUAUAAUAAUGUGAUCUCUGACGUGACGGUCAAGGUUCUUCUACCUGAUGGGCAUAUAAUAGAUGGCCACAUCUUUCUUGUGGAUUUUCACUAUAAUGUAGCUGUUGUCAAAGUUGCAGCUUAUUUAGCGCUCUUAGAAGAAAGCACUACCAACAAUGGAGCUGUGUUAGCACUUGGACGUGCAUAUGAAGGUGGUUAUAUCAUGUGUUCACGGGGUCAAGUUUUAAACAAGAAAAGCAAUUUUGGGUGCGCGGAGCUAUUGGUGUCAAGCUGCGAGGUUUCAAUG